AGAGUUUGAUCUUGGCUCAGAACGAACGCUGGCGGCGUGCUUAAUACAUGCAAGUCGUGCGAGAAAGUCACCUUCGGGUGGUGAGUAAAGCGGCGAACGGGUGAGUAACACGUAAGAAACCUGCCCCUAAAUCCGGAAUAACAUUGCUAACGCGGUGCUAAUACCGGAUGUGGUCUCCAGUUUGCAUGAACAGGAGAUUAAAGGUGACCUCUACUUGUAAGUUAUCGUUUAGGGAUGGUCUUGCGGACCAUUAGCUUGUUGGCGGGGUAACGGCCCACCAAGGCUGCGAUGGUUAGCCGGCUUAAGAGGGUGAUCGGCCACAUUGGGACUGAGAUACGGCCCAGACUCCUACGGGAGGCAGCAGUAGGGAAUUUUGCGCAAUGGACGAAAGUCUGACGCAGCAACGCCGCGUGAGCGAUGAAGGUUUUCGGAUUGUAAAGCUCUGUUGAGUGGGAAGAAAACUCUCCGGGAUAAUACCCCGGAGACUUGACGGUACCACUCGAGGAAGCCCCGGCUAAAUACGUGCCAGCAGCCGCGGUAAUACGUAUGGGGCAAGCGUUGUUCGGAAUCACUGGGCGUAAAGGGAGUGUAGGCGGAAAGGUAAGUUAGAAGUGUAAUCCACGGGCUUAACCCGUGACUCGCUUUUAAUACUGCUUUUCUUGAGUAUGGGAGAGGGAGAUGGAAUUCCAGGUGUAGCGGUGGAAUGCGUAGAUAUCUGGAAGAACACCAGUAGCGAAGGCGGUCUCCUGGCCCAAUACUGACGCUGAGGCUCGAAAGCGUGGGGAGCGAACAGGAUUAGAUACCCUGGUAGUCCACGCCGUAAACGAUGGACACUAGAUGUUGGCCUCUUCGGGGGUCGGGUGUCGUAGCUAACGCGUUAAGUGUCCCGCCUGGGGAAGUACCGCUCGCAAGAGUGAAAACCCAAAGGGAAUUGACGGGGGCCCGCACAAGCGGUGGAGCAU
rnacentral:rRNA from 1 species